UGGGGAAUUUUCCGCAAUGGGCGCAAGCCUGACGGAGCAAUACCGCGUGAGGGAGGAAGGCUUUUGGGUUGUAAAGCACUUUCAGUAGAGAAGAAAAGCUCAUGGUUAAUACCCGUGAGUCUUGACGUAACCUACAGAAGAAGCACCGGCUAACUCCGUGCCAGCAGCCGCGGUAAUACGGAGGGUGCGAGCGUUAAUCGGAAUUACUGGGCGUAAAGCGCGCGUAGGUGGUUCUGUAAGUCGGAUGUGAAAGCCCAGGGCUUAACCUUGGAACUGCAUUCGAUACUGCAGAACUAGAGUAUGGUAGAGGGAAGUGGAAUUUCCGGUGUAGCGGUGAAAUGCGUAGAUAUCGGAAGGAACACCAGUGGCGAAGGCGACUUCCUGGGCCAAUACUGACACUGAGGUGCGAAAGCGUGGGGAGCAAACAGGAUUAGAUACCCGGGUAGUCC
rnacentral:rRNA from 1 species